GGAAAGGUUCCUAACCCAACAAUAUAUAAAGCCUCCAAGUUUCCCUAAAGCAAAGUUAUUAUUCCCACUAUUUCUCCUCCGAGAAGGUUACAUUUUUCUCAGAGAGCAAAAGAGAUGAGUAAAUAUACAGAGAUUUUGGAUACAUUAGUGAGAAUUGCUGCAAGGUUUCAUUCUCACUGCCCACAAACUGCACGGAUGUACUACCACCCUCCAACCAACCAUGACGGCAGCCGCCACCACCACCAUGACAAUGUCUCCGGCGGCAGCGCCACCAGGGAUGUUUCAGCGCCGACGGGUUGUUAUGGUUCUAAAGGUGUUGGGAUUGAUACUACUGACUUUAUUCUUUAUACUAUUGCUUGAUAGAGAUGAGGAAGAAGAAUAGUUGAAAUAUUAUUUAUAAUUAUUUUGGCAUACAAUUGUAAUUUGGCUUUCUUUCAAGAAUUAUAUACGUUCAAG
rnacentral:lncRNA from 1 species